CUGAUUUCAUCCCGAAAAUUCUUUGAACUACAGAAAUCUGUUUAGAAUUAUCUUAAUGAACAAUGCAACAAGGACGAAGCAUGUAAACUGUGUUGUCUGCUCGUUCAGAAUGGAAGGGAUCGCAAAUGGAUCCAAAUAAAGAAAC